GGCCAGAUCAUCACCACCUUCUGCCUUCUCCUUAAUAAUUGCUCGCAACUCCUUCACUGCUGACACCCGCUUCUCAUCGGUCUCAUUCAGCUCAUCCUUGGCCUGCAGAGAGGAGCCAGUCCAGGAGUUUCUUUGAUUACCUUCUGCAUAGUGUGGUCUGGCACGUUGGUGCAGGGUCCAAAAACUGGUCCGUGGUCCUUGACGGUCAGACGUUCCAGCUUGGCCCUGAGCGCCUGCUCCUCCUCCGACACCAUACGGUAAACAGAAUGACCCCGACCGUGUUAACGUCACUGAUGAUGCUAUGACGAAGGCGCAGGCAGCCAACCAACCAGUAAUCUGCUAAUUCAGGCCUGAUCUGCUAAAUAAAGAGAUUUGUGGAGCAAAAUUAGAUGGAUUGUGCAAACAAUGCUAUGCUCUGUUCUUCCCUUGUUGCCUGAGCUUUAGGGCCAAGUCCAGCCUUUAGACGUGUGUGUGUUAGAUUGUUUGAGUACGUACAAAGAUGCUUGAGGAUUAAAGCAUGAGAUGUAAAAACAUAUGUACAGCUCCACCUGGAGCUUACUGCACUAGCCUACAUAAAGUAAAUCGUGCACAUUAGUUAAAAAGAAUGUUUCCUUUUGUUUGGCUUAUCAUCCUUUAAAAACAGCUUUUGCCAAGUUAAAUGAGGAUACUGGGCCAGGUUAUGGAAGGGAUUUUGUAACCCAUUUGGCCAGGGUGCCAUCACAUUAUUUCACAUGCUGAUCCUGUAUUUAUUCCUGACACUUAAUAGUAGGUCUGAAUGAUCCCCAAAUUAUUUCCCAACACUUAAAGUGAGAUUUCAUUAGGUAAUGCUACUGCUGCUAACAGAAACCCACAACCAGAACUGAUAUGACACAGUGUACUUAGGAAACCAACCUGAAAGAAGAAUGUACAGUAAAGGUCUUUCAUCAUCAGGGAAUGACUUUAGCGAGGCUGGAGGUGUCUGCAUUGUGAAUUUCUAAAAUCGUCCUCAUAAGCACUAAUCAUAUAUAUUUUUUUAAAAGUACAGUGAUAAAUUCCUAAAGUGAGGCCAAACAAUGAGACAAUUUUUUUUCCCAAACAUGCUGCAGUUUUAUUAGGACAUUUCACAGCAGCUUACAAUGUGAGGUGAUCAAAAUACUGUCACAACUAACCCGAACCCUGCCAACAUCAGUCCACAUGACCAAUAUCAGCUCAUAGUAAUAUUUGUGAUUUCCAAGUGUUUCUAUCAAGGCAGUAAUUAACAUUUCAAAAGCAGUCACUUAUCUUGUGUUUUCAAGAACAGCUACAUUUAUGUCAUCUUUUCCAAUGAAUAGCUGAAUUUUUCAAGUAAGAGCAGAUACUUGUUAGAGAACUGCAAACCUCAAACGCAAGAGCACCAACUCUUACCUUAUAAAUACACUCAAGUCUGGAGCGACUAAUUUGAUCAACCAUUUCUACAGACAACCAAAAAUCUUUUGUUAGAAGCUCUGAACAUGUUUAACAUGUUAAAAGCAAUAAGUUAGAAAGUGUUUUUGUUCCACAUUUUAAAGUUAUUUCUCUCCAAA